UGGAACUUGAACUAACCGAGCCUAUGGAGGAUUCUAAAAAUGAAGAAGAAAGCAUUUUUAUUUUGAAGUUUGUUGUGCCAAGAAGACAAAAUGACAUUCCUCACUUAAAGGCCAAAAAGUGCAAAAUGCGAUACUCGAGAGUUGCCCUAUUAGCUGUCCCACCAUCGCCUCGCGAGCAUCACCGGAAUCUUGAUUCAAAGUUGGGGCGCAAAUUCAUAUCUUCCAAAUGGAAAGAAAAGUUAUAAAGUGCCGCGACGUUAAAUUAAGCGCUUGGUGGGAGGCAACCCAUCGUUUUUAAAAUUCUAAGUCAUUUUUGAAAUUUUAUUUUUUAGGAUAGUUUAUUUUAUUAUUUUUGAUCAUUCUAUCAAGUUUCAUAAUUUUUGGAAUUGAUUUGGACCAACUUGGGAUGUUGGAGUGGCACACAGUGCCAAAAAAAAAUGCAUAAAAACUGUUGUAGGAUGAGUUCUUGAUAUUUCAAUUUUGGGCUCAGCAGCGACAAAACGCGGACCACUCUUGGGGUUUUUUUUUUUUUUUUUUUUUUUUUUUUUGUUCUUGUUAUGUUCUUAAUAUACCCCAGGGUAAGUGAUUAAAAUCUUUUUUUUUUUUUCAAAAACAAAAGCACAAGGUCCCUCUCUGUUUUCGUUUCCUUCUGGACACCACACAGCAACUCCCAAAAAUUAGCUAUUGAUAAUAUGAGACUUUUAGUGUGGUACACGGCAACAUACAACAACACAUCAGCACACACACAACAAGUCCCAUAUUUUAACUCUCACACACCGCAACUCCCGUCCCGAACCUCUGCUUCUCACGCAGCUGCUCACACCAACGUUACUACCAAUUGGGUUACUGCUGCUGAUAUCCCUGUAACGAUCCAAGGUACUUUGUGACACAAAAUGGCAUCAAGUUAACAUGGAACAACUCAAGGAGAAGUGGAAGAUUUUCCCACUUAAAUGCACUAGCUCAACAACAUCAUCUUUUCAGGGAGUUUGUCUUAACUUUUGCUUUAAUUAUAUAGUUACAUUGAGAACAAUGUAACAUUUUAAGUUGGGGGAGGCUUUAUUUUGAUAGAUACUUUUGUGAUGGGAUAUGAUAUGUCAUGAUGGAUGAUAAUUUGGUAGAUUGAUUUUAUUUUGGUAUUUUAUUAAUGACAUUUAUAUUAGUAUAUAUAUUUUUUUUCUUUUAAUUAUUAUUUUCUUUUAUUUUUAUUACUAGCUUCUUUAGUUUCUUGUUGUUUAGUUGUAGGAAUGGUGUUGGGAUGUGAUUUUUUUCCCUUGGCCAAUUUUUUGCUUGCUUGGUACCAACACAUUUAAACCUUGGCAUAUGAAUUUUUGAAUUUUGAAAAAGAAAAAAAGAUUGAAGUGAGGAUUCUUGUUGUGACUUUUAGACUCAAUUUUUGGUUCUUAUUUUCACUAAUUAGUCUCUUUAGGCUAUGAGUGGCUUUUGGAGUUCAUUUGUUUCAAUUGGGUUUUCAUGUGCCAUGUGUGGUGAAGUUUUCACGGGUUCUUUUUCAUUAUUCGUAGUCUAGAACUUGCCGGGAAUAAGUUUCAAGGUGAAAUCCUAGACUACACUUGGUUUGGAAAAUGAUGUUAGGCCUUACUUGGAACCUUUUUGUGCCUUAAAUUUUCUACCCUUGCAUAUUUUUCCUAGUCAACCCUUUUUGAGCCUUUAACCUUUUCUUUGAUAACCAUGUUACAUUCUUUACUCUGUUCGUCAUUGAUCCAUCUUUUGGUACCCUACCUCCUUAAUGCGUUGAAAGUGCAAACAUAGGCUAAAAGCCUAAGUUUGGGGGUGAUGGUUGGUAAAGUGUGAUGUGGAAGUUGCUUGAAAGGUGAAAAUGAAAAAAAGAAAUAGUGGUCUUCCUUGAAAUUUUGAAAAAAAAAAAAAAGAACAAACAACAACAAAAAGAAUGAAGAAAAAUGAAGGAUGAAUAAAGAGUUGUGAAUAAUGGAAAGACUAGAUGGUGAAAUGAAAAGAUGAAGAAAAUGGUAGAAAAGUUUUAAAGGAAGUGUGCUUUGAUUAUUGAAAAUUGUAGUGUUUAGGGAGAUUUUUGAUUCACCAUUUCAAAUUAUGCCCCUACCUUAACCAAAAGCCUACAUUACAACCCUUUAAGUCCUAAUAGAUUUUGAACCAAGUGUGUCUACAUUAGUGGAGAAAUAUAUGAAGGACAAACUUAUGGUACUACUUGUGUGCAUUUGAACAUCUUUGUGUGUGUGUGUGUGUGUGUGAGAGAGAGAGAGAGAGAGAGCUAAUUCUUUCCAUUUGAUAUCCCAUUUUUGUUUUAAAUUGCACUUUGUGAGUUGGGAUUAUCUCUUAAUUGUGAGGGCACGUGAGAACUUGAAUUGUGAAUUUGUUCCAAAUUUCAAUUUAGAGGAAUGAACAAAAGAAUGUUGUUUUUUGAUAAAGAGGCAACUUUUGAAGCUUUAGUGUCAUGACUUGAUUGCUACUUUGAUUAGUUUGGUAUUUGCACACUUGAAAAAAAAAAAAGAGUUUUUGAGAAGUUGGUGAUUCAUAUGUUUUGGAUUAAUUGUUAGUGCCAAUCAAAUUCAUGUUUUUGUGCUUAAAGUAGAUCUUUUUGACUUUGUAUAAUAUUGGUGAACUAUUGAGUUGAGUCCAUGGAAGGGAAUUGUAAGUUUUGAUUUGCUUGAGGACAAGCAAUAGUUUAAGUUUGGAGUUUGAUAAGUUGGUAUUUUUCAACUUAUUUCUUCUUUAAUCUUAGAUUGUUGUUAUGUUUUAAUUGAAAAUUAGUGCAUUUAAUGUCGUUUACUUCAAUUUUAUAGGUCUAUAUGAUUGAGAAGUGAUCAUGAAGAAAUCAAACGAAAAACAAGUCAAAAAGAGGUCAAAGUAAAGAAAAUGACAAAAAUGGCUAAAACUGCCAAAACAGGACAGAUUUGCAAAUCUGAAAAUAUGGGCUGUUUUGGUCGAAUUUUGAUGUGGAAAUAUUGGGGAGCUAUAAAAGCAACACUUGAAGGAAAAUAUCAUGAUCUUUGGCACAAAGCACAAUUCUUGGAGGCUAGGGUUCUACACCACACUUUGGAAUUGAAGAUUUGAAGAUUUGGGUUGAGAACUUUCUUAAACUUUUCUCCAUUUCUCUGAUUCUUUGCUUUGUAAUGAAUAUCUAAGUAUGUAGUAUUUAUUUUCUUCACUUCAAUCUUGAUUAUGAAAAUAUUCUAUGAUUAAAGCGUUGGACGAAACUCUUGUUUUGCUUAUAUAUUAAAUGACAUUUAUUGCUAA